AUUGAACGCUGGCGGCAGGCCUAACACAUGCAAGUCGAACGGUAACAGGAAGAAGCUUGCUUCUUUGCUGACGAGUGGCGGACGGGUGAGUAAUGUCUGGGAAACUGCCUGAUGGAGGGGGAUAACUACUGGAAACGGUAGCUAAUACCGCAUAACGUCGCAAGACCAAAGAGGGGGACCUUCGGGCCUCUUGCCAUCGGAUGUGCCCAGAUGGGAUUAGCUAGUAGGUGGGGUAACGGCUCACCUAGGCGACGAUCCCUAGCUGGUCUGAAAGGAUGACCAGCCACACUGGAACUGAGACACGGUCCAGACUCCUACGGGAGGCAGCAGUGGGGAAUAUUGCACAAUGGGCGCAAGCCUGAUGCAGCCAUGCCGCGUGUAUGAAGAAGGCCUUCGGGUUGUAAAGUACUUUCAGCGGGGAGGGAGGGAGUAAAGUUAAUACCUUUACUCAUUGACGUUACCCGCAGAAGAAGCACCGGCUAACUCCGUG
rnacentral:rRNA from 1 species